rnacentral:rRNA from 1 species
UACGAAGGGUGCAAGCGUUACUCGGAAUUACUGGGCGUAAAGGGUGCGUAGGUGGUUUUUUAAGUCCGUUGUGAAAUCCCUGGGCUCAACCUGGGAAUGGCAGUGGAUACUGGAAAGCUAGAGUGCGGUAGAGGGUAGUGGAAUUCCCGGUGUAGCAGUGAAAUGCGUAGAGAUCGGGAGGAACACCAGUGGCGAAGGCGGCUACCUGGACCAGCACUGACACUGAGGCACGAAAGCGUGGGGAUCAAACAGG